rnacentral:rRNA from 1 species
UUAAAGUUGUUGCAGUUAAAAAGCUCGUAGUUGAACCUUGGGCCUGGCUGGCCGGUCCGCCUCACCGCGUGUACUGGUCCGGCCGGGCCUUUCCUUCUGGGGAACCGCAUGCCCUUCACUGGGCGUGUUGGGGAACCAGGACUUUUACUUUGAAAAAAUUAGAGUGUUCAAAGCAGGCCUUUGCUCGAAUACAUUAGCAUGGAAUAAUA